AGUGAACGCUGGCGGUAGGCCUAACACAUGCAAGUCGAACGGCAGCACAGUAAGAGCUUGCUCUUACGGGUGGCGAGUGGCGGACGGGUGAGGAAUACAUCGGAAUCUACUUUUUCGUGGGGGAUAACGUAGGGAAACUUACGCUAAUACCGCAUACGACCUACGGGUGAAAGCAGGGGAUCUUCGGACCUUGCGCGAUUGAUUGAGCCGAUGUCGGAUUAGCUAGUUGGCGGGGUAAAGGCCCACCAAGGCGACGAUCCGUAGCUGGUCUGAGAGGAUGAUCAGCCAAACUGGAACUGAGACACGGUCCAGACUCCUACGGGAGGCAGCAGUGGGGAAUAUUGGACAAUGGGCGCAAGCCUGAUCCAGCCAUACCGCGUGGGUGAAGAAGGCCUUCGGGUUGUAAAGCCCUUUUGUUGGGAAAGAAAAGCAGCAGGUUAAUACCCCGCUGUUCUGACGGUACCCAAAGAAUAAGCACCGGCUAACUUCGUG
rnacentral:rRNA from 1 species